rnacentral:rRNA from 1 species
UGGCUCAGGAUGAACGCUAGCGGCAGGCUUAACACAUGCAAGUCGAGGGGCAUCGGGAGGAAAGCUUGCUUUCCUUGCCGGCGACCGGCGCACGGGUGAGUAACACGUAUGCAACCUGCCCUCUUCAGGGGGACAACCUUCCGAAAGGGAGGCUAAUCCCGCGUAUAUCGGUUUCGGGCAUCCGAGAUCGAGGAAAGAUUCAUCGGAAGAGGAUGGGCAUGCGGCGCAUUAGCUAGACGGCGGGGUAACGGCCCACCGUGGCGACGAUGCGUAGGGGUUCUGAGAGGAAGGUCCCCCACACUGGUACUGAGACACGGACCAGACUCCUACGGGAGGCAGCAGUGAGGAAUAUUGGUCAAUGGGAGAGAUCCUGAACCAGCCAAGCCGCGUGAGGGAAGACGGCCCUAUGGGUUGUAAACCUCUUUUGUCGGAGAACAAAACCCGGGACGUGUCCCGGACUGCGUGUAUCCGAAGAAAAAGCAUCGGCUAACUCCGUGCCAGCAGCCGCGGUAAUACGGAGGAUGCGAGCGUUAUCCGGAUUUAUUGGGUUUAAAGGGUGCGUAGGCGGUCCGUUAAGUCAGCGGUAAAAUUGCGGGGCUCAACCCCGUCGAGCCGUUGAAACUGGCAGACUUGAGUUGGCGAGAAGUACGCGGAAUGCGCGGUGUAGCGGUGAAAUGCAUAGAUAUCGCGCAGAACUCCGAUUGCGAAGGCAGCGUACCGGCGCCAGACUGACGCUGAGGCACGAAAGCGUGGGGAUCGAACAGGAUUAGAUACCCUGGUAGUCCACGCAGUAAACGAUGAAUGCUGGUUGUCCAGGUCGAAUGAGAUCUGGGCGGCGAAGCGAAAGCGAUAAGCAUUCCACCUGGGGAGUACGCCGGCAACGGUGAAACUCAAAGGAAUUGACGGGGGCCCGCACAAGCGGAGGAACAUGUGGUUUAAUUCGAUGAUACGCGAGGAACUUUACCCGGGCUCAAACGGGAGUGGAAUGGACCAGAGACGGUUCAGCCUACAGGUCGCUUCCGGGGUGCUGCAUGGUUGUCGUCAGCUCGUGCCGUGAGGUGUCGGCUUAAGUGCCAUAACGAGCGCAACCCCCGCCGGCAGUUGCUAACGGGCAACGCCGAGGACUCUGCCGGGACUGCCGCCGCAAGGCGUGAGGAAGGCGGGGAUGACGUCAAAUCAGCACGGCCCUUACGUCCGGGGCGACACACGUGUUACAAUGGGCGGUACAGCGGGAAGCCAGGCGGCGACGCCGAGCGGAACCCGAAAGCCGUUCUCAGUUCGGAUCGGAGUCUGCAACCCGACUCCGUGAAGCUGGAUUCGCUAGUAAUCGCGCAUCAGCCAUGGCGCGGUGAAUACGUUCCCGGGCCUUGUACACACCGCCCGUCAAGCCAUGGGAGCCGGGGGUGCUUGAAGUGCGUCGCCGCGAGGCGCGCCCUAGAGCAAAACCGGUGACUGGGGCUAAGUCGUAACAAGGUAACCGU